ensembl:snRNA U2 U2 spliceosomal RNA
AUCGCUUCUCGGCCUUUUGGCUAAGAUCAAGUGUAGUAUCUGUUCUUAUCAGUUUAAUAUCUGAUACGUCCUCUAUCCGAUAAUAAUAAUAAUAAUAAUAAUAAGAGUGUCAAUUGUU